rnacentral:tRNA from 1 species
GGUUAAAUGGCUGAGAUAUAGGCGGUAGAUUGUAAAUCUAAGUACGAAAGUUAUUUCUUUAACUA